GAAACUUUAGCGAAGUGGCCUAACGCGCUCCCCUGCUAUCAAACCAUGCCCCUUCAUACAGGGAAUUAAUAGGAAGAAGCAGCCUAGGGAGUCUCCUCGGAGGCGCAGGUUCAAAUCCUGUAGGUGUCG